rnacentral:tRNA from 1 species
GGCCGCCGGUCCUACACGGAGGGCACUGCGAGCGACCGCCUACCUCCCGGUCAGAGCCCGCGAACAGCCUGAUUGCUACACCUGAAAAGCGGAAGGUCGGCAGUUCGACCCUGCCCCUGACCACCA